rnacentral:rRNA from 1 species
CGGCGGACGGGUGAGUAACGCGUGGGCAACCUGCCUUUUACAGGGGGAUAACACAGGGAAACUUGUGCUAAUACCGCAUAACAUCAUGAGAGGACAUCCUCUUAUGAUCAAAGGAGCAAUCCGGUAGAAGAUGGGCCCGCGUCCGAUUAGCUAGUUGGUGGUGUAACGGACCACCAAGGCGACGAUCGGUAGCCGAACUGAGAGGUUGAUCGGCCACAUUGGGACUGAGACACGGCCCAGACUCCUACGGGAGGCAGCAGUGGGGAAUAUUGCGCAAUGGGGGAAACCCUGACGCAGCAACGCCGCGUGAAGGAUGAAGGUUUUCGGAUCGUAAACUUCUUUGAUUGGGGACGAAAAAAAUGACGGUACCCAAAAAACAAGCCACGGCUAACUACGUGCCAGCAGCCGCGGUAAUACGUAGGUGGCGAGCGUUGCCCGGAAUUACUGGGUGUAAAGGGCGUGUAGGCGGGGAUGUAAGUCAGAUGUGAAAUCCCAUG